AUUGAACGCUGGCGGCAUGCCUUACACAUGCAAGUCGAACGGUAACGGGCCUUCGGGUGCCGACGAGUGGCGAACGGGUGAGUAAUGCAUCGGAACGUACCUUUCAGUGGGGGAUAACGUAGCGAAAGUUACGCUAAUACCGCAUAUUCUGUGAGCAGGAAAGCAGGGGAUCGCAAGACCUUGCGCUGAUUGAGCGGCCGAUGUCAGAUUAGCUAGUUGGUGAGGUAAAGGCUCACCAAGGCGACGAUCUGUAGCGGGUCUGAGAGGAUGAUCCGCCACACUGGAACUGAGACACGGUCCAGACUCCUACGGGAGGCAGCAGUGGGGAAUUUUGGACAAUGGGGGCAACCCUGAUCCAGCCAUGCCGCGUGAGUGAAGAAGGCCUUCGGUUGGUAAAGUA
rnacentral:rRNA from 1 species